CGGGCCUGCCGCAACUGGCGCAGUGGGCUCACCCACGGGGAGCGGCAAGGAGAUCUCUCGACUGCUGGUCGCACGCCUGGGCCACUGGU
rnacentral:ncRNA from 2 species